GCAAACCGGGGGCCUGCAAAGAAGUAUUGAGUGCUUUGGGCACUGAUCCAUGAGAUGUCCUCAGUCUAAUCAGAGUGGUGGGAACGCAAGGAAACGUCCUUGUGCUACUUCAGUAUAAUCAAAAUAACGGUGGGAACUUUGUGCUGCUUUUGCGCUCAAGGACGAAGCAUGGCAGGUUCUCAAGAAAGCCAAUUAUUGCUUGUAAAAUUAAUAAAAACAUAGGUUGCUGCUUUAGCACUUCUGAAAUGUUAAAAAAAGUCGUAAAGUGUAAACCUAGAUAAUGCUUUAAUAAAAGCUACCACAACAGGACAGACGGCGCUGUUUUGCCUGAGCGAGCGGCAGCCCUCUACUGCUGUGCUUCGGCACAAUUCAUCUCGUGUGAUGAGCUUACUUUCGGCCUUGUCAUAAGAUAAACUACAACAUUUGGCGCCCGAACAGGGACCUGAAGGCCUCUCACUGUUGUGGCCUCUCCCGUUGCGGAGCAACAGGCUCCGGAUGCGCAGGCUCAGCGGCCAUGGCUCACGGGCCCAGCCGCUCCGCGGCAUGUGGGAUCCUCCCGGAAUGGGGCGCGAACCCACGUCCCCUGCAUCGGCAGGCGGACUCUCAACCACUGUGCCACCAGGGAAGCCCUCUAGUAUAUCUUUUAACAUAUCUACUGAAAGUUUGUAUACCUUACGAGCUCGGACAGGUCUUUGGCUUCCUGUCAAUCUUGGAAGGAAAUGGCAAAAAUCUCUUCCUAUGACUGUUUUACAAUAUUUAACUGAUACAUUAAAAAAAAGUAAAAGAUUUAUAGAAAUGUUGAUUGCAGCUGUCAUGGGUAUUAUAGCCAUAACAGCUUCUACUACAGGAUUGCUAAUGCUCAUUAUAAUAAUAAUCAUAUGUUUAAUUAUAGUCCGACGACGAUUGAAAGUCACCCGCCAUACAACAUCGCAACAAGCUGCCGUGUUCUCCUUGAUGCUGCAAAAAUUACACAACAAAAAGGGGGAAAUGUAGUGGAAUAACUGAGGACAUGGAAAGGAGACAUGACCCAUGAGCCCCCCCCCGCAACAAACUGGGGGCUGACGAAUAAGCCAGAACUACAAACAGUCCUGAUUGCUUUGAGCCCCACCCCCCCGGCAAACCGGGGGCAUGUGAAUAAGCCAGAGCUGUGAACAGUCCUGAAUGCUUUGAGCCCCCGUCCCCCGCCCCCGGCAAACCGGGGGCCUGCGAAUAAGCAUUGAGUGCUUUGGGCACUGAUCCAUGAGAUGUCCUCAGUCUAAUCAGAGUGGUGGGAGCGCAAGGAAAUGUCCUUGUGCUACUUCAGUAUAAUCAAAAUAAUGGUGGGAACUUUGUGCUGCUUUUGCGCUCAAGGACGAAGCAUGGCAGGUUCUCAAGAAAGCCAAUUAUUGCUUGUAUAAUUAAUAAAAACAUAGGUUGCUGCUUUGGCACUUCUGAAAUGUUAAAAAAACAAGUCGUAAAGUGUAAACCUAGAUAAUGCUUUAAUAAAAGCUACCACAACAGGACAGAUGGCGCUGUUUUGCCUGAGCGAGCGGCAGCCCUCUACUGCUGUGCUUCAGCACAAUUCAUCUCGUUUGAUGAGCUUACUUUCGGCCCUGUCAUAAGAUAAACUACAACACUCCUCAAAGGCAGGAAUGUCUGCUCAACCAUAAAGAUCAAUUUUUUCCUUCUCGAUGCCAGCAAUGUAACUCCUUAGACGAUAACAUUCUUAAUUCUUUCCUAAUUUUGUAAGGGGUCAUGGUGACCUGGUGCUGCUUCCUAUGUGCAGAUCUGGACUAUGUAUCUUUGGUGAACUUUAUGUACGAUGUCAGUGUGUCAUUUUGAUGUACGACCCUUUGUCUCAAAAAUGUAUAUAACUUCUAACAGGCGGAAUAGUCCUCAGAGUUUUCUGAACAACUUCUGUGGUUCUAAUCCUCAGGUUGGCUCGAAUAAAAUUCUCUAUUUCUCCUUUA